GAGGCAAGUCCCCAGUUUCUUCUUCGGGGGCGUCAUCUUCUUCAUUCAACUAAAGGUACAAGUCCAGUUUUAAAGUGGAUAUUGAUGGAGAAACAAAGACGGCGUUCACCUUCC